UGAAUUAAGUGGAGAGAAUAAAGUAAACUAGAGAAAAAAAUAAAGAGAAUGAUGUUUCUAUUUUUAGAAAUGUUUGAUUCACUUAGAGUAUGGACAUAGAGAGUAAAAAACUUUUUUUAAACAAAUCACCCUGACUAUCAUCGUCAUCUUUACUAUCAUUUUUACUAACAGAAGAGUAUAUAUACUCCCUCUGUCUCGUAUGAAUAGACCAUGUUUCAGGAACUGUUCAAAUUCCUCCGCUGCAAUUUAUUCUAGAGAGAGUAGGAAAUGACGAAUUUGGCUUACUUGGCUGCUGUCAGGCGCAAGAUCAGGUCUCGUCUAGAAUCUUCUAAUAUUUCUCGAGAAAUCGUAGGAAUGGCAGUGUAGGAAAUUGAGAGGUUCGAAGAAAUGGCGAACAGAAUGCUGUGGGGAAGCAGGAGAAGUUGGAACAAAGAAAUCAGAGCGACAAUAGACAAAUUUAAAGGUGCGAUGCAGUCCCAUCUCUCAAAAUCUGGAAGCAGUGGGAAUUUCGCGGAGGAAAUAAAACUAGAAAUUCAUUAUUUUGCCGAAAGAGUGAAGGUUAAUGCCUCAUUGUAGGUUUCAUUAUAGGUUUCACCGUGUAUUUUGAUCCUCAUUGUUAUUCACAUGGUGUGGAUUGGAAUUCGAGCUUUUGGAUUUGCAGAAAAUGAAUUUGACGGCGGUGAAAGAGGGAAAUGAGAUUCCUUGAAUAAGCGUUGCAUCUUCUUGGAGCAUGUCGUUGGCCUCAUCGGCCUGCAGAAUGUUCAAAUUGUACGCGAUUGAGCCGAGAUUGUAGGACAAAACCUUGACUAUAGAGAAAACUUUGACAAUGCAGUUGCAGAAAUGAGAGUACUGGCUGAAUUACUGUCUUCUGGUGGUCCAUGUUGGUGGUUUGUUUGUGGCAGCAAAGGGUCAUGAUCCACAGUAGAAUCUCAUAGCAAAUUUGGAUCGAGGACCGCCAUUAUAUGCCUGAAAGAUGGUUCGACCCCCAGAAAAUAUCCUCAGACACCAGGUAUUCGUUCAAAGCUCCCACUAUGAUGUUGAUAUUGAACCAGUAAGGUUUACUUAGCUAUCUGUUUUACUUAACCGAUACCUAUUGUGAACAAGAUUCCUCUCGAUUUCAACUCAGAAACACAGUGUUGUACAUCAUAUCUAGGAUAUAUUCUUCUCCCUUUUUUCACCUCGCCAAUAUAUACUCUUGAGUCUUGUGCACAAUUAUUUACUUUUGUUUUUCUAAUACCAGUCACAUAAGAGAAGCUUCUUUGGCAUUUCACUUGCAUCCCCUUCUGCAUCAAUGCCUGCAACAUCACGAGAAAUGUUGCUUACUUGCUUCAGGUUGAACCCAAAUCUGUUUUUGAGAUGUAUUAUCUGAUUCCAUUUAGGCUUGGCAAUGACUUGGGUGGGACGGUGUGAGAUGGGUUAUAAUGUUAGAGGCAGACUGAAGCCUACCCGAAAGGCCGAAACUAUACCUAUACCUAUAUCUGCAACUGGAUCACAACGUGUUGUUAGUGUAACACGGCUUAUAUAAUCUUUGAUCAUGAUCUAGAUCAGUUAGUAUUAUAUCCCAUUUUGGAUUCAUUCUAAUAUUUUUAUUAAGCUAGCUACUCUAGUGCUUUUCCUCCUGUUCCUCUUCUUUUAAUAGUUUCCAUUGAACAGUAAGUAAAAUACUUGGACGUUGAAAAGGUGGGUGUUGGAGUGUAGAUUUUAGAGACUAGUUUCUUUCCAGUAGUGUAUUAGGUAAAACUACAAACUACUCAAUUGCAUGUUGGCAACU